CUAGAGGUUUUUAUAAAAACCAUAAAAAACAAUCAAAAACAUGCGAU
rfam:Picea glauca, whole genome shotgun sequence.